rnacentral:misc_RNA from 1 species
UUUCCGUAGGUGAACCUGCGGAAGGAUCAUUAUCAAAAGUCAAGUCGGGGGCUGUAAAGCUCUCGUCUACACCCAUGUCUUUUGCGUACUCUUGUUUCCUCGGUGGCGCAAGCUGCCGAUUGGACAAACCAAACUUUUUAUUUACAGUCAAACUUGAUUUAUUAUUACAAUAGUCAAAACUUUCAACAACGGAUCUCUUGGUUCUC